CGAUGGGCAGGCCGAGGGCCGAAUCUUCGAAGCCGGAGGAUCGAGCUCCGCUGCUGCGCACGCCAGGAGCAGGCUGGAUUGCCGAAGGCGAAGAAGACGUUCUUGAGCAAGAUAAUCAGCUUCAGCAAGACCAAGCUUUUUUGUAGAAAAGGAAUCGGAAGCUCGGAGAGACCUCACGUGAAUCGACAGGCAAUGUCUUUCGAGGGCGCCCUUGAUUAUUGUGCCGAACAGAUUCGUGCAAUUCAUUUACACGAAAGAGUAGAUCCUGUGAAUGUGUUGGACUUUCGUGGUCUCUACUCAGACUUUAGGCCAGUGAAAAUUGACGGGGAGUGUUUCUACAGGAGCUUCAUAAUUUCCUAUCUUUGUUUAUGCCGAUGCACGACAGGAGCAAGUUCUUGAUAGGCAAGACACAAAUGAGGAAGAAUGCUUCCUUGCAGCUAUCGAAGAGGUGGCUGAGGAGGAACAUGCACGUUUUGGAUGGGCCUCUGAAUUUUCUAGUAGCCACAAAGCAUUUAAGGAGUUGAUAAAGAAAGUAAAGAGCUGGAAGAAAAAACGCAGAUUGAUCCCCGUAUUAACUGACAGAUACCUUAAGCGGAAACUUCUCAAGUUCUUCAGCACUUACGAUCGAACAGAAGACAGCGAGAAAACACUUCUCAACUUAUCCUUCAGUCAUCAACCUAUCUUUCCCUCAGUUCAUCCCAAUUAAUGUUUCUGACACAUUUUUGGUGGUCAGUUCUUGUUUUCCUCAGGUUAGUAGCAGCUAUCUGGUUAUGCUCGCACAUGGCGGACUAUGAAGAGGUUAUACCUGGACUUGGAGAAAAUGACAGUGUGACAGAUGUCGCUGAUUAACCAUUCGGCGGCCAUCUUUUGAUCAAGUCUGGUUUGGAGAUGUGCUCCCGUUAGUGUUCCAGUCAGUUUUAGAUUUAUUUCAGUUAUUAGGUGUGUCCUAGUCUGAUUCUUGUAUGAUUGGGUGAGACUGGUUCUUUGCAAAUGCAUUGGUACGUACUGUAGCGGAGCUCUGACGUACAGCAUGGCUUUUUGACCAUGACUUGAAGACGGCAAGUUCACACGGGAGAUUUGGACGAGUUUGGUUUUUUCGAUAAAUAUAGAGGGUGAUUUUAUUAACUCAAAAUAAAACAUCAAACAGGUUUUUCAUAGCCAAAACACAAAAGCGAACAAUACUCAGCUUUGCAUAACCAAAACACAAAACACGAACAAUCUCGUAAAAAAAGAAAAAACAACAUAUCGGCAAUUCGUAGAUUAUGUUGCUACACAUGUUGGGUAAAACCCUCUCUGGCCACCCGCUCCAUUUGUAUACGCAUCAUCUUGAACAACUGUUGGUACUGUGUUCGAUGUAGCGUAGUCCAUGUACGAAGCGGAUGCAUACCAUAUAAAAUUACAUGCAAAGGUGAAUAUUUUUUUGCCAUUAAAAAUCAUUUGUAUAUAGACAUAGUGACCAUAAUAAGGCAUAGACUCCCACUUAUUAGAGCACUGGACCUAUUUGAAAUUUCAUCUGACCAUAAAUAUUGGCAAUUUACUUGCUUAUACAAAUUGAACGUUAUCUUAAUGACUGACCAUGUAGAGCGUGCAGGCGUACCCCUUUGCGUCGCCACCCCCUCCCCCCCCCAACCCAAGCCGGUAGCCCACCUUUGAGACCUCCCUUGCCGCCGGCAAGUGCCGCGGUGGCGGCGAACCCAAUGCCAAAGGCUCCUGGGCGGGUGGUCGUUGCGGGAUCUCCCGUGAAGCGGAGGGGCGCUUCAUGUGGGGAUGAUGAAGGCAGCAGUUAGGGCGGCGCCCCUACUGUGCAGCGGCGAUCGAGGCUCCAUUGCUGGCAGGAUGGUCGGCUUGGAGAUGGAUGGUGGCGGUGGCGGCACUUGAUAUGUCUCCAACGUAUCUAUAAUUUUUUAUUGUUCCAUGUGAUUAUAUUAUCUGUUUUGGAUGUUUUAUAUGCAUUAAUAUGCUAUUUUAUAUUAUUUUUUGGACUAACCUAUUAACUUAGAGCCCAGCGCGAGUUCCUGUUUUUUCCUUGUUUUUGAGUUUCGCAGAAAAAGAAUAUCAAACGGAGUCCAAACGAAAUGAAAUCUUCGCGAUGAUUUUUCUUGGACCAGAAGACAACCAGCAGACUUGGAAAUGAAGUCGGAGGAGCCACGAGGCGGCCACAAGGACGGAGGACGCGCCCAGGAGGGUAGGGUGCCCCCCACCCUUGUGGGGCCCCCGUGGACCUACUGACCUAAUUUUUUCGCCUAUAUAUUGCCAAAUAUCCCCAAACCACCAGAGGCAUCCACGAAAACACUUUUCUACCGCCGCAACCUUCUGUACUCGUGAGAUCCCAUCUAGAGACCUUUUUCGGCACCGUGCCGGAGGGGGAUUCGAUCACGGAGGGCUUCUACAUCUACUCUAUUGCCCUUCCGAUAAAGCGUGAGUAGUUUACCACAGACUUACGGGUUCAUAG